rnacentral:sRNA from 1 species
UCAGUCAGUACAAGAAGCUAGUGUAGCUA